rnacentral:lncRNA from 1 species
UAGCAGCCAGGGAGACUUCUUAUGCAGCCCGCUUGUUUCAAAGGAGCGUCGGCGACAGGGAGGGGAGGAUCUCAAGACCUUUAAUUAGCUGGGAAUUGCACCCUCUCUAGUGGCUUGCUUGUGAGAACUAGAGAGCUAAGGAACAGCUCCUCAAAGAGGAAGAUGGCACUUGCCAGAAGGCAGAGCUAAAGCACGCAGAUGUGCAGUGAGAAGACAGAUGCUACACCCAGAUCUAAUGUGUGGUCUCUGGAUCAGCAGCACAGCCAUGACCCUGGAGCUGAAGGGCAGGAUAGAGGGUCCUCCCCAGAACUACUGAGUCAGAAUCUGCAUCAUAGCAAGAUCCAUGGGGAUCUGGUUGCACAUGAGACUUUGAGAAACACUUGUCUAAAAACAAGUAAGAUAAAAGAGUCAAGCAUGGUGAAACCCUCUCUCCUCUCCAGGACUUGGAAAUGCCCAGAUAACGGCACCUUCCCUCAUGUUUAAUCUUUUCCACCCAACCUUACUAGGCUAGAAAUAGCCGCCAUUCGGUCCUGGGAGGAUCCUGGAUUCUGACGGGGCAUCGAGAGUGGAUGCAGCACUGUCACUGGGUUCCCCGCCUUGGUGUUACAGCUUCCACUGCCCACACGGGGAGUAAGAAGUGGGUUUCCAGAAUAAUCCCUCUCUGGCUUCCAUCGCUGCAGGAGACUUUACAGCCACCAGGGAUGACCCCAAGCCCACGCCCCAGGUGAAGGUCAAGCAACCGGAACAAUGCCACUCAGCUCAGAUCACUAGGACAGGAAGCCCAGGAAAAUUCCCUUCGGAGAUCAGCCUUCUACGAAACUAGAAGUUGCAUGCUACUGACUCCAGACCCAGGAGAGGCAGACACAGCACACACAGUAAAGGGGGAAAAGUUUCCUGGUGAGUCCUACAGAAUGACGGGGCUCAUUCACUCCUUAGAAAAGCACCUCUCUGCAUCCAUGGGGGCCUCAGGAUGACGGUGGAAAUGCCUGCUGCCAUCUCAGCUUUACUUGCGUGACUCUCCCCAGAUCCCCAGGCCUCGUCAGCAGAGACACAUCUAUCGAUAAUUACAGAAUACACAGCUUUGGGGGGCAUUUCCCUUCCAUUCACGACAUUUAGUGGUGUCAGUCUGAGCAUAAAUACAAUUAGAUUUGAGAGUUCUAUUACAAAAGCCAAUAAAGCGGGCCUCAGUAGAGAUUCUAAAAUUACUUAACUUUUCUUUAGAAAAAUAUUAAAACAGUAUUAUCACAUCAAUGAGAAGAAAAGACAGCAAGAUAAUAAAGUUAUGUUAAACCUCCCUGUAUUUACUCAUGUGUGAAACAGUUAUGUCUGGUCACAUAAUUGCAAUGGUUCUGAGAAAUAUUUCAUAUUUUAUAAUGAACAUUAAAAGAGUUUGUGGAUCAUUACUUUAUAUGAGUUCCAAAGUUAUUACAUAAAACCCAAUAGGAAUGGUUAUAAAUUAUCAGAUCCUCUGGCCUGGCCUUGGUAAACAUAACAUGAAGACUGAGACAUUUCAGCAGACAAGAUUCAUGAGAAGAGGUAAAAAUUCUUCCUGCAUUUUAAGGAGAAAAGAAGACCAGAGUACUUGUAACCAGCUCUUAGCAUUUUUGUUUCUGUUUCAAAGAAAUUCUAUUGAACCACUUGCUUAAGCCACACACACACAAAGCUUCUGUUAGAACAAAAGAGUAGUUCCUUUAGACACUGCCCUCAUCGCCUCAUUUUUCAUUAUCCUAUCUGUGGCCUUAAGGUCACUGCCAAAUUCUUGAAUUUUUCAACACAGUGUGGGUUUAAAAUGCUGUACUUAGCAGGCUCAUACGAUACCCAACAAUUCUUUAUUUUCAAAAGGAGAUCCUCUCUUUGAAAUCUGAAAAUAUGGCAUCUUUACAGAAAUUGGAGAGUUGAUAACAUUCUGAGGAAGUUUUCUUUUGGGGUCUGCAGAAUAGGUUUGCAGACAGAAUUUUAAUUACAAACUAUCAUUUGUGAACCACGGUUAAGCAUGAAAUGGAUGCUAUUCAAUUUCCUCGUGCUUAUUCUCUUUUUUAAAAAUAAAUCACAGCAUUAUAUUUUGUUCUGAAAAAUCACACCUGGAGCUUCCCUUCCUCCCUCCCCCUUGCUUUCUGCACGGUGAAAGAGUUAAGUAUGGGAAGAAUAGCAGCUGGGUAAACAAAGUUAAGGACCAGAGAAGUAACGUCAAAUCUUCUUGUCAGCAUCCAAGAGGCACAGUGCCCAACUGGGGCGCUUUCUGAUGAAACACACAGGCAACAUUUGCUACCUGGUUCUAGGAAAUACAGGCACCUCCCUCGCCUUUGUCCAAAGCAGCCCCGCUUCCGGUACCUGUGGAGUGAAGGUGGGCGCCCGCCCUCCAGGACCCCACCUAACCCCUCUGAGGCUCCCCUACCUGCCAACUCCCAACCUUAUCCCGGGUUCUCCCCUUUAUGUGGCGCAGCUGUUGGUGAGGCUUUCUCAGCAAACAGAUGUCUUUUGGAGAAUUUAAAGCUCUGAGUUGGAGGCCAGAUUCUGACUGUACUUUGAAUUAUGUCUGCCUCGAUCAUUAUGCAGUCAUUCACAUAUAUUUUAGACAUCAAUAUUGUCUUGAAAUAUUCUCGAGUUCUCAAUGCUAUUUAUAUGCUUCCAUUCUCUCCUUUGCUUCUGCUCUGACAGUAUGCUCCAACGUCCCAGCGUCACUGACGACUUGCAGAUCAUUUUAACACAUAUUUUCAUUGGUGAGGGCUUUGCCAUUUCAUUUAACAUGAUUUCUCGCUAAAUUGAGCAGAGAUUGACAUUCUUGGGACAACAACCAACCUUGGUCAUCUGUUUGGAUGGAGGAUUUACCCAGUUCAGUAUUUUUUAAGAUGAAACAGUGUCAUGUGUUGCCUCUUUCUACGGACAGCAAGUUUUUACCAAUGACAAAAGAAAGAUUCUAAGGAUGCCAAUUUACAAUGUGGGAGGAAAAAAAAUCUCUCCUUGCUUAUUUACAGAAAUGCUCAUCGGCUAACAUAUGAGAUUCUGAUAUAAUGUAAGCCCAUAGGUAAAAGAAAAAGCAAACUCAAACUGUGAAAACAAAGCAAAACAAAACAAAAACAGAUAUUUUCAGGACUUAAAGAGUAACAAGAAAAGGAGAGAAAUCUUUGGGGCUCUUUCAGCACAUUUAGUUCUAGGCCAAGUUUAGGAAAACCGUCAUGGCCCCUCAGAGCUUCAUAUGGUCACCAAGAGAGCCAAUCUGAUUCAAUGACUACUCUUACUUUCAAACGGGGUCAGGGCUCUCACCACCACCACUCAUCUAUUGAUCAUUUUGUCCUUGUUUGCAGAUCAUCCCUUUGAAGUAUUUUCGCAAUGGCCUCUAGGUGCCGCUAACACUGCAUAGCUUCAGCCUUUCUGCACAAUGAAAACAUUAAUUUGCUAUGAGAUAAUUUUUGACGUAAAUGUAAAAUGGUGCCCAUUCGAACUCAGUAAUGAAGCAUGGUGCAUUUCUGCAGCUCCUAAUUUGACUAGUUAAAUGACUCCAUUACGUGUCUAACAGACAGAAGCAAAUAAUUUCUGGUCAGUUGAUGUUCACUUACCCGUAUCAUUUUGCCCUGAAAAUAAAGUCUCUAAUCUACAAUUCCUUUGUCUUAGUUUUUUUUUUUAGUUAAGAUUAUCAAAGCAAAUAUACUUAAAUAUUUCAGAUUAAACCAGUAUAAACUAACAAUUAAAACGUCAGACAGGAUAGGCAAAUCAAAUAUGUGUAAUUGGAGAGGUGGAAAACCAGUCAGCCCCCUUCUAAAUUAAUUACUCCAACUUUGCCCCUGUCACUAGGUCCUAGGGGUUAGGAUGACUCUCGGGCUUCAAAAGAACAAGUGUGUAUCUUUCAAGUCUAUUGUUUUCCUGUGACCCCAAAGGGGCUACUGGCUGUUCCUGUGUCUUUUUCACUUUGCCACAUAACUUUGAGGAUGUUUGGAAAAUCAGUAGCAGGAUGCAUCUCACAAUAGCAAAAAAAAAAAAAAAAAAGGAAAAUGCUGCUUUAAUAAAUAUCAAGUGAUGAAUAAUUUUGCCCAAAGGGGAAAAAAUGGUUAAUAUUGAAUCUUAAUGUUCCUCAUCUAAAUGCUUUUUUCUUCCUGCUAAAAACAAGUUUAGAAUUAAAGCGUAUCAGUUUACACAUAUUGCAUGCAUAUUAGUGAGACACAGCUGUGUAUGUCCCCCUGUUAAGAGCCAUAUGAUUAAGUUAUGGGAUAUCAUAUAAUCCAAACGCUGUUUCUACUGGUCACCUUUCACAGACAAAAGCUUUUUAGUUUUAGGUCUAUUAAAUGACAGAAUGUCCGAUUCUGGAAAUGUGCAAGCAAUUAUUAUGAAGCACCUGUGACUCUCACUUUUUGCUCACCAAGUCCAUCUAUAAAUUGCUUCUGGAACAUUGCUCAGAGGCUGACAGAGGACUGUCCUCCCUGUCUGGGGCAGCUGUCGGGCAUACAGUGAGGUGGCUCAAGACCCAGGGUUGAUCCUGGUUAACUAUGGAAUCAGGACCCCAGCCGUCCUACCCCAUCGCCCUGAAGUGAAGAGACUAUAGACUCUUUCAGUGAAGAAACAGUGGUCGGAGAAACAGUGAAGAAGAACCCCCUAAAGUUCAGAGGGAACCCUGGGCCCACCCGUUUAUCAUCAGCACUUCCGGAUGAUAUUUCGAACUAGGUCUGCACCAGAAAAUCAGUUUUCAAAAACAUGUGAACUAAAAGAACCAGUUUAAAUGAUCUUUAUUUUUCCCCAAAGUAACAUGCUAUUUGACCCAAUUAAAA